rnacentral:lncRNA from 1 species
UUCCCAAAGAACAUAUAGGUUCCGUAGCUUGAGAAUCCAAGAUUUUAAUGAUUUUGAGUAAAACUGUUGUUUUCUCGAUGCUCCCUCUUAUGAAAUUGUACUCUGUGCCCUCCUUAAAUUGUAGCCUCCACCAGAAAGUAAGAGAGAGAUUAGGAACAUGGGGACAGAAUCAAGUUUAAAAGCAGAACCAUUAAAGACUAACCUUAUAACUUGAAGUCCUAGACCAACUGAGGCAUCUUGUAUAUCAUUGAUAGCAUGCGAACACAGUAACCUUAAAUUUCUGUCUGCAUACUCCAGGGGUCAAGAAAAGCGAGUCAGCAUCAACAGAAGUUACAGAACAUAUAAUAUUAAGACAUAAAGAGCAAAAGAGGAGACGGGAAGACCAGCGGUAACUUACAUUUAAACUAUUCAUAAGUUACUUUGCAACUUGCGGAAGUAAUACAAAAAUCCCUUGUAAUUUUAAAUAAAUAAAUGAUUUAUUACAAAAAUAUGUUCUUCUUUUCAAAAUCGAUAAUAGGUUUGGGCUUUUCUAAAUAGGCUAUGAAAUCUAUAUUUUAUACUAAAUCCUACAGAUACAUUGGCCCAAGAAAACUGAACGCUUCAAAUUGGUCUAACAACUAUCUAGGAAAAGUCACUGGUAUAUCCCCAGCUUCAAACAACUACAUAUUUGAUAUGAACCAUUUCUCAAUCAAUCUUUUGCGAAAGAAAGAAUAUACCUCCAAGAGUGCUGCUCUGAAACUGGAUAACACUAUACAGGAAUAUAUUCAGCUACAGACCACCACGUAUUUCUUUCUCAAACAUUUCCAUUUGUAUAUUUUCCCUGCUCUCAUUUAAGUUUCAAUACAUGUCAAAUCAGAAAACGGCAUGUGCAAUAGGAAAAGAACUGAAGAAAAAAAAUGAUGAUAUAGCUCACCUUCCCAAAGAACAUAUAGGUUCCGUAGCUUGAGAAUCCAAGAUUUUAAUGAUUUUGAGUAAAACUGUUGUUUUCUCGAUGCUCCCUCUUAUGAAAUUGUACUCUGUGCCCUCCUUAAAUUGUAGCCUCCACCAGAAAGUAAGAGAGAGAUUAGGAACAUGGGGACAGAAUCAAGUUUAAAAGCAGAACCAUUAAAGACUAACCUUAUAACUUGAAGUCCUAGACCAACUGAGGCAUCUUGUAUAUCAUUGAUAGCAUGCGAACACAGUAACCUUAAAUUUCUG